rnacentral:misc_RNA from 1 species
CAUUUUAAAAAUAUUAAUGAAAAUGCCCAAAAACCAAGAAAAGCAAAACUCCUCAGACACUUGAGUCAGCUUCCUUCAACCCACCGAGUAAAACAGACCCAACAAACAACCCAGCUGCAACAACUGCAAUCUCCAGCUUGCAUCGCCACCAACCCCACCAAAUCAUCCGGUAUUACCACGAUCGCUGCCAGCGCCUAUGGGAAGCCCAGCUGAAGCCAGAGUCGACGGGGAGACACUGGCUGUCUUCUCCAACAGACUCUAACAGCCCCAACUCCUCAGCUCUCGAAAACACACCCAAAUUCUCUAUUGAUAAGAGUGUGGAUCCCAGCUCUUCCGCCUUGGAGAGUAGUCCUGCCUUUUCUACGUUGCUAGGUACUUUGCGCUUCUCCAGAUUCUUAACAAAUCAUAUUCCAAUUCUUCAGUACUUUCUUAGAAGAUUCCAGCACCAUGUAUCAUUUUUUCCCCAACCAUCAUCGUACUUGUUCACCUGUAUCAAUUACAUAGAGAUCAAUUGCAUUUUCA